rnacentral:lncRNA from 1 species
AGCUGAGCUCGGGAUUUCCGGGAGUAAGAGAAAGCGGGAUGUGCACACUGCUGCCGCGCCCACGUCCCUUACGGCCGCCACAUCCUGCAGAGCCGUGAAGGUUCCAAUCUUUAUUUGAGAGUCACCAGAAGACUGACAGCUUGUCUGGCUGCUCCCUGGGUCACGUGGCAGGCAGGAUCACGUGACACCCGGGAGCCCGCCUGUAGGGGUCUGUUGCCCUGACAACAGCCCGCUCGCCGGGACUUUCCGGGAGAGCGCGGGCUCCCAGGAGCAGUGUUUCCAAUGCUGUGAAUAAUUUUAAGAUACUUGCUUUGUGACGUGAAAAUUACUAACCAUGGCUCACUAUUUCAAAGUAGACCUUGAUGAAGAAUUUGAACGGUUUAUGAAGGAGCUUUCAGAUGAUUCUUUUGAAAAUUCAAAUAAAACACCUAGACAACCUAAUGAAGAC